AGUGAACGCUGGCGGCAGGCCUAAUACAUGCAAGUCGAACGGCAGCACAGCAGAGCUUGCUCUGUGGGUGGCGAGUGGCGGACGGGUGAGGAAUACAUGGGAAUCUGCCCAGUCGUGGGGGAUAACGUAUGGAAACGUACGCUAAUACCGCAUGCGCCCUACGGGGGAAAGCCGGGGACCGCAAGGCCUGGCGCGAUUGGAUGAGCCCAUGUUCGAUUAGCUAGUUGGCGGGGUAAAGGCCCACCAAGGCGACGAUCGAUAGCUGGUCUGAGAGGAUGAUCAGCCACACUGGAACUGAGACACGGUCCAGACUCCUACGGGAGGCAGCAGUAGGGAAUAUUGGACAAUGGGGGCAACCCUGAUCCAGCCAUGCCGCGCGAGUGAAGAAGGCCCUCGGGUUGUAAAGCUCUUUUGUCCGGAAAGAAAAGCAAUCGGUUAAUACCCGGUUGUUCUGACGGUACCGGAAGAAUAAGCACCGGCUAACUUCGUGCCAGC
rnacentral:rRNA from 1 species